GACGAACGCUGGCGGCGUGCUUAACACAUGCAAGUCGAACGGAAAGGCCCUGCUUUUGUGGGGUGCUCGAGUGGCGAACGGGUGAGUAACACGUGAGUAACCUGCCCUUGACUUUGGGAUAACUUCAGGAAACUGGGGCUAAUACCGGAUAGGAGCUCCUGAUGCAUGGUGGGGGUUGGAAAGUUUCGGCGGUGGGGGAUGGACUCGCGGCUUAUCAGCUUGUUGGUGGGGUAGUGGCUUACCAAGGCUUUGACGGGUAGCCGGCCUGAGAGGGUGACCGGCCACAUUGGGACUGAGAGACGGCGCAGAAUCCUACGGGAGGCAGCAGUGGAGAAUAUUGCACAAUGGGCGGAAGCCUGAUGCAGCAACGCCGCGUGCGGGAUGACGGCCUUCGGGUUGUAAACCGCUUUCUCCGGUGAUGAAGCGUGAGUGACGGUAAUGGGUAAAGAAGCAACGGCUAACUACGUG
rnacentral:rRNA from 1 species